GGCCCAAGGCCUUUUCACUCCAACUCAGAAACCCUUAGGGGUUCUCCCUCUCCGCGCGCAGCUUCAUCCAAAGGAGAAACCAGGUCUCCUUCUCUCUGAGCGAGAAACCAGAGACGACCUCCUCCACCCUUCAACAGCCGCGCCCCAGCCACCGGGGGAGGACCCUCUAUCCGGUCCAACUCUCCGUUGUCGACGCCAUCCAGGCCGCCGCUGGUCACCGGCCUCGGAUCCGCCCCUCUCCCUCUCGCUUCGAGGACAGCAGCCCAAGGGAGGGUCUUCCUCCGCCGCACACGCACCAGCACUUCUUCAAAUCGACACCGCGAACCCGUCCACGGCGUCGCCAGCAAGCUUCAUUGUACAGGAUAUGCAUUGGAAUGUGUUUGUGUGCGUAUGAGUAUGAAUGUGAUAAUUGAUUCUCUACUGCGCACCGAAAGCUAGGAACCUCAUGGUGUGUUUGGGAAUUUGGUGUAGUGGUGCCCUGGAUGGCAUUCUUUCAAGACUCAAGAAAAUUAAAGAAACACUAAGAGGCGCUGAAGGCUAUGGAAAAAAUGGGAGAGCUCGUGAUGCUCGGUGGUUACGAAACGGAAUGACACCAAAGGGAUUUUUCAGAGCUCCAACGUGCAGGGGUGCUUAGGAAAAGGUGAUGAAGGUUUUCGGUAAGAAUGUAGAAUGGAGAAAGGGGAAGACUCCUACCACAAUACGUACUCAAGCAAAGCGACUUCUAGCAUAAAAUGAAAUAGUGCAGCAAGCUUACAUGACUAUGUCUACACGAGUGAGCAAGGUGUCCUUACCUCUUGGAGCUCUGCUUGCCUUUGUCAGCUACGUCUCCAGUGAUCUCUCUCCUUUUUCCUAGCCGACCUCUGUCUUUCUUUGCGGGUGAAAAAUGCUGGAUGCUCUGGAUGAUGAUUGAAAAUCCCCCCGGUUUCAGAAGCAAUCCCAAAUCCUCCUUUUUUUCUCUCUAGUUUGUAAUGCUGCACUGCUUCCCAAGGAGCCCAGACACAUCCCUGAGACAAAUUCCCUAAUCUGGGAUUGUCCUGGUAUUGUUUUGCAUUACUUUGUUGUUUUCUUGGACAUAAACCUUGACACGGGGAUCUGCUUCGUCU